rnacentral:rRNA from 1 species
GGGUUGUGAGGUUAAGCGACUAAGCGUACACGGUGGAUGCCCUGGCAGUCAGAGGCGAUGAAGGACGUGCUAAUCUGCGAUAAGCGUCGGUAAGGUGAUAUGAACCGUUAUAACCGGCGAUUUCCGAAUGGGGAAACCCAGUGUGUUUCGACACACUAUCAUUAACUGAAUCCAUAGGUUAAUGAGGCGAACCGGGGGAACUGAAACAUCUAAGUACCCCGAGGAAAAGAAAUCAACCGAGAUUCCCCCAGUAGCGGCGAGCGAACGGGGAGCAGCCCAGAGCCUGAAUCAGUGUGUGUGUUAGUGGAAGCGUCUGGAAAGGCGCGCGAUACAGGGUGACAGCCCCGUACACAAAAAUGCACAUGCUGUGAGCUCGAUGAGUAGGGCGGGACACGUGGUAUCCUGUCUGAAUAUGGGGGGACCAUCCUCCAAGGCUAAAUACUCCUGACUGACCGAUAGUGAACCAGUACCGUGAGGGAAAGGCGAAAAGAACCCCGGCGAGGGGAGUGAAAAAGAACCUGAAACCGUGUACGUACAAGCAGUGGGAGCACGCUUCGGCGUGUGACUGCGUACCUUUUGUAUAAUGGGUCAGCGACUUAUAUUCUGUAGCAAGGUUAACCGAAUAGGGGAGCCGAAGGGAAACCGAGUCUUAACUGGGCGUUAAGUUGCAGGGUAUAGACCCGAAACCCGGUGAUCUAGCCAUGGGCAGGUUGAAGGUUGGGUAACACUAACUGGAGGACCGAACCGACUAAUGUUGAAAAAUUAGCGGAUGACUUGUGGCUGGGGGUGAAAGGCCAAUCAAACCGGGAGAUAGCUGGUUCUCCCCGAAAGCUAUUUAGGUAGCGCCUCGUGAACUCGUCUCCGGGGGUAGAGCACUGUUUCGGCAAGGGGGUCAUCCCGACUUACCAACCCGAUGCAAACUGCGAAUACCGGAGAAUGUUAUCACGGGAGACACACGGCGGGUGCUAACGUCCGUCGUGAAGAGGGAAACAACCCAGACCGCCAGCUAAGGUCCCAAAGUCAUGGUUAAGUGGGAAACGAUGUGGGAAGGCCCAGACAGCCAGGAUGUUGGCUUAGAAGCAGCCAUCAUUUAAAGAAAGCGUAAUAGCUCACUGGUCGAGUCGGCCUGCGCGGAAGAUGUAACGGGGCUAAACCAUGCACCGAAGCUGCGGCAGCGACGCUGAUGCGUUGUUGGGUAGGGGAGCGUUCUGUAAGCCUGCGAAGGUGUGCUGUGAGGCAUGCUGGAGGUAUCAGAAGUGCGAAUGCUGACAUAAGUAACGAUAAAGCGGGUGAAAAGCCCGCUCGCCGGAAGACCAAGGGUUCCUGUCCAACGUUAAUCGGGGCAGGGUGAGUCGACCCCUAAGGCGAGGCCGAAAGGCGUAGUCGAUGGGAAACAGGUUAAUAUUCCUGUACUUGGUGUUACUGCGAAGGGGGGACGGAGAAGGCUAUGUUGGCCGGGCGACGGUUGUCCCGGUUUAAGCGUGUAGGCUGGUUUUCCAGGCAAAUCCGGAAAAUCAAGGCUGAGGCGUGAUGACGAGGCACUACGGUGCUGAAGCAACAAAUGCCCUGCUUCCAGGAAAAGCCUCUAAGCAUCAGGUAACAUCAAAUCGUACCCCAAACCGACACAGGUGGUCAGGUAGAGAAUACCAAGGCGCUUGAGAGAACUCGGGUGAAGGAACUAGGCAAAAUGGUGCCGUAACUUCGGGAGAAGGCACGCUGAUAUGUAGGUGAAGCGACUUGCUCGUGGAGCUGAAAUCAGUCGAAGAUACCAGCUGGCUGCAACUGUUUAUUAAAAACACAGCACUGUGCAAACACGAAAGUGGACGUAUACGGUGUGACGCCUGCCCGGUGCCGGAAGGUUAAUUGAUGGGGUUAGCGCAAGCGAAGCUCUUGAUCGAAGCCCCGGUAAACGGCGGCCGUAACUAUAACGGUCCUAAGGUAGCGAAAUUCCUUGUCGGGUAAGUUCCGACCUGCACGAAUGGCGUAAUGAUGGCCAGGCUGUCUCCACCCGAGACUCAGUGAAAUUGAACUCGCUGUGAAGAUGCAGUGUACCCGCGGCAAGACGGAAAGACCCCGUGAACCUUUACUAUAGCUUGACACUGAACAUUGAGCCUUGAUGUGUAGGAUAGGUGGGAGGCUUAGAAGUGUGGACGCCAGUCUGCAUGGAGCCGACCUUGAAAUACCACCCUUUAAUGUUUGAUGUUCUAACGUUGACCCGUAAUCCGGGUUGCGGACAGUGUCUGGUGGGUAGUUUGACUGGGGCGGUCUCCUCCUAAAGAGUAACGGAGGAGCACGAAGGUUGGCUAAUCCUGGUCGGACAUCAGGAGGUUAGUGCAAUGGCAUAAGCCAGCUUGACUGCGAGCGUGACGGCGCGAGCAGGUGCGAAAGCAGGUCAUAGUGAUCCGGUGGUUCUGAAUGGAAGGGCCAUCGCUCAACGGAUAAAAGGUACUCCGGGGAUAACAGGCUGAUACCGCCCAAGAGUUCAUAUCGACGGCGGUGUUUGGCACCUCGAUGUCGGCUCAUCACAUCCUGGGGCUGAAGUAGGUCCCAAGGGUAUGGCUGUUCGCCAUUUAAAGUGGUACGCGAGCUGGGUUUAGAACGUCGUGAGACAGUUCGGUCCCUAUCUGCCGUGGGCGCUGGAGAACUGAGGGGGGCUGCUCCUAGUACGAGAGGACCGGAGUGGACGCAUCACUGGUGUUCGGGUUGUCAUGCCAAUGGCACUGCCCGGUAGCUAAAUG